rnacentral:tRNA from 1 species
AGAAAUUUAGGUUAAUUAAGACCAAAAGCCUUCAAAGCUUUUAGUAAGAGUUUAAAUCUCUUAACUUCUG